rnacentral:lncRNA from 1 species
AGAAAAAGUUUGCAAAUUUAAUGGCAUAGGGCCAAAGUUUCUAAUCAUUAAAAUAAAGUCUAAGUUUGAAAAUAAAAGCAAAGAAGUUUUCGAAAACAGGGAGAGGUUUUGAAAUUUAAGAAGUGGGGGAUAUGAAGAGACUAUCCUAAGCACAAAUUAAAAGUCAAGAGUUGAAAAGAUCUGACCAAAGGGAUGUAAUCC